GAAGGAAGUCUAUGCACAAGUCUCACAUACAUUAUGUCAAUCUCAAUUGAUCACUAUUUAUGAACAUUUCUUAGAUUGCUUUUAGAUUCUAUAAUAUGUAUAAUGCACAAUAUAUUUUUGUGUUAACAUAAGAUCAUAUGAUUUUCUGUCGAAUGGGCAAUAUGGCACAGAAUUUAACUAGUUUAACCAUUCUUUUCAGAAUAUUGGUCAUUACAUGGUACAUGAAUUAGAUACAAUAGGACUAUAUAAUUUACAAACAAAAACUCCAUUAUGAAUUUUAAUUUCUGACCUUCAUUUCAUUUACAUAUACACUUCUGUAGCUGUAUCUAAUACAAAAGAUUUUAGGUUCUAAAAAUAAGGAAUACAGCGGAAAAAUAAUAAGUUGAUUGCAAUAAGAAUAUAAUUUUUUCAGGCAUAUGCAUAGUUAAUUAGAAAAUCUUUCCAGUAAAUUUCAUUCUUUCUAACAAACAACAAGUGGAGUCAUGAUGCAGAAUUCCAUAGCAGGAGUUACAUAUGAAUAUUAGAAAGUGAUUUCUGGGGUCAACAUUUAAUUAAGAACACAUUGCUGACCAUGUGAACUGUGAGUAAAGGCACCAUCAAACAAUCCAGUAUAAAUAGCAAAGAAACUCAUUAUUCUUGCACA